rnacentral:rRNA from 1 species
CGGACGGGUGAGGAAUACAUCGGAAUCUACUCUGUCGUGGGGGAUAACGUAGGGAAACUUACGCUAAUACCGCAUACGACCUACGGGUGAAAGCAGGGGAUCUUCGGACCUUGCGCGAUUGAAUGAGCCGAUGUCGGAUUAGCUAGUUGGCGGGGUAAAGGCCCACCAAGGCGACGAUCCGUAGCUGGUCUGAGAGGAUGAUCAGCCACACUGGAACUGAGACACGGUCCAGACUCCUACGGGAGGCAGCAGCG